UCCCUGGUGGCUAGCUGGUAAAGAAUCUGCCUGCAAUGCAGAAGACCCAGGUUUGAUCCCCGGGUUGGGAA
rnacentral:tRNA from 1 species